rnacentral:rRNA from 1 species
UACGUAGGGUGCGAGCGUUAAUCGGAAUUACUGGGCGUAAAGCGUGCGCAGGCGGUUUUAUAAGCCAGAUGUGAAAGCCCCGGGCUCAACCUGGGAAUGGCAUUUGGGACUGUAAGGCUGGAGUAUGGCAGAGGAGACUAGAAUUCCUGGUGUAGCAGUGAAAUGCGUAGAUAUCAGGAGGAAUACCGAUGGCGAAGGCAGGUCUCUGGGCCAAUACUGACGCUCAUGCACGAAAGCGUGGGGAGCAAACAGGAUUAGAUACCCUGGUAGUCCACGCCCUAAACGAUGUCAACUGGUUGUUGGGGGAUUUAUUCUCUUAGUAACGAAGCUAACGCGUGAAGUUGACCGCCUGGGGAGUACGGUCGCAAGAUUAAA